UUUACGAAAACCCCCUCCCCUUUCCUCCGACAAACACCGCAACCCACCGCUCGGUCGCCUGCCACGCGCGAGCCGCUUCUCCGUCGCCUCGCCACGCACACCGACGAGGGCACCGGCCGCUUGCUCCGUCGCUCUGUCUCGCCGCCGUCUCCAUCGCCUUGCCGACCGCCGGCCGCCUUCUCCCGCUCGUCUCGCCACUUCUCUUCUUCCACACGAGGAGCUCAAGAUGGAAGGAGUCCCCUUUUCUUCAAGCUCGCAAUUUGCCGGCUCCGGCGGCGGCGCUGCCCCGUGCAUCCUCCGGCUCCGGCGAGGCUCCGAUCCACUAUGCGGCUCUGCGGCUCGCUCGUGCAUCAGGACGCCGAUGCCACGGAGGACGCCGCUCCACCCCUGAUACGGUUUGUGCCCCCGAAGCCAUUGAGGAUGCCCCUCCACCCCUGCUCGAUCCUGAAGGUACUCCACCCCUGCUCCAUCUCAGUUUUGGUCAAAUCUGAAUGUUCCUGCUGUAUCAAGCUGCUGUUUCAGAAUUUAAAACUGAAAACAUGGGUCUUCAGUUUCAGUUGAGAAAGUUAGAGGGAAACAACAGUGGUGAACCAUAGAAAACUUGAUUGGUUUCAGUUCAGAAGGUUGGUUUCUAUCUGAAGCUAUGGGAACAUUCCAAGGUGCAGUUCCCCCCUCUUCUUGCCAAGGCUUUGUCAGAUUUGUGCAUCUUGGACUUCGACAUCCCAUCUACGAUGCUAAUGGUUACAUGGCAAGUUGUUCUAAUUGAUGUUCCUGCUGUGAUUGGGGUGAUGUACAUUCAGGUGAGCAUCUUGAAAGAAUCCUACAUUCAUCUUCUUGUUCAGAGGCAAAAUGUGAACAAUGCUACUGUCUCCAUCAUUUUCAUUUCAGUAAAUAGCAGUGCUACAUUGACAUGGAUGCAACAUUUAGGCGACAAAUAGGCGCGCAGCAGCAACAGCGAGGGGUGGGGUGGCAAAAGGCAGCGGCGGCGAGGGACGGUGCUCGAUCAGGCGCCAAGUCGUCUUGCCGCUGGGCCCGCGUGGCCCUGCCUACGGAAGCUGCCAGAGAGAGGAUCGGCGGCACGGGACUUGCCCAAAUCCCGCACCGGCGUCCACAGGCGUGAGAAAGUGUCCUGGGACGCGAGCAGCAGCACACACUCCUGGUCCAGGAGAUCGUCACCCAAGAGCGCGCAGAGCUCAAGGAGGACGACCUCAACCAGAUCACGGCGGGAGGCUCCGACGA